UACGUAGGCAGCAAGCGUUGUUCGGAAUUACUGGGCGUAAAGAGUGUGUAGGCGGUGCUCUAAGUUCGGUGUGAAAUCUCCCGGCUCAACUGGGAGGGUGCGCCGGAAACUGGGGGUGCUGGAGCGCGGGGAGAGGAAAGCGGAAUUCCUGGUGUAGCGGUGAAAUGCGUAGAUAUCAGGAGGAACACCGGCGGUGUAGACGGCUUUCUGGACCGUAGCUGACGCUGAGACACGAAAGCGUGGGUAGCAAACAGG
rnacentral:rRNA from 1 species